UAAAAUAAAAUAGGAACGAUAUAGAGCUUGGCAUGGCCCUUGUGCAAGGAUGACAUGCAAAUUUGUGAAGAGUUCCAUAUUUUUU
rnacentral:snRNA from 1 species